GGAGACCUCUAUUUCCCUCACAGAGCUACAGCUCCCAGAUUGUUAAACUACUGUGAGAACUUUAGCUCUGUGAGGAGAAUAGGGGUCUU